rnacentral:misc_RNA from 1 species
GAAGAGAGGGAUGAGAGGAAUGAGAGAAUCACAGGGUUCAGAGGGUAAGUGAGAGAGACGAUGAACGUGAAGGCAGACGGGAAAUAUGAAGUGCCUUAGGACGCGAUUAUGAGUAGCGUCCCAGGAGCAACGAUCAUCUCUGACAUGAAGGGAUGUGACACCAAAACGCUACUAUUAGUAGCAUCCAAGCUGCGAAUGCCACUAUAAGAAGCGUCCGGACUGGCUGAUGCGACAGCUCUCAACACAUUUGCACGCCACUAAUAGUCGCGUCCCAAGCUCGGCACAUUCCUAUAAGAAGCGUCCGGAUGUACAGUGUUCUCCACAUCGGCUCCCUCACCCCCUUUCGCCCCUUGUUUGCUCAUGCCAAUACGAGGGAGAUGAGGUGAAA